UACGUAGGGUGCGAGCGUUUGUCCGGAAUUAUUGGGCGUAAAGAGCUUGUAGGCGGUUUGUCGCGUCUGCCGUGAAAACUCGAGGCUCAACCUCGAGACGCCGAUGGAAACCAUCAGACUAGAGUCCGGAAGAGGAGAGUGGAAUUCCUGGUGUAGCGGUGAAAUGCGCAGAUAUCAGGAAGAACACCCGUGGCUAAGGCGGCUCUCUAGUACGGUACUGACGCUGAGACGCGAAAGCGUGGGGAGCGAACAGG
rnacentral:rRNA from 1 species